rnacentral:rRNA from 1 species
GAUGAACGCUGGCGGCGUGCCUAAUACAUGCAAGUCGAGCGAACAGACGAGGAGCUUGCUCCUCUGACGUUAGCGGCGGACGGGUGAGUAACACGUGGAUAACCUACCUAUAAGACUGGGAUAACUUCGGGAAACCGGAGCUAAUACCGGAUAACAUGUUGAACCGCAUGGUUCAACAGUGAAAGACGGUUUUGCUGUCACUUAUAGAUGGAUCCGCGCCGCAUUAGCUAGUUGGUAAGGUAACGGCUUACCAAGGCAACGAUGCGUAGCCGACCUGAGAGGGUGAUCGGCCACACUGGAACUGAGACACGGUCCAGACUCCUACGGGAGGCAGCAGUAGGGAAUCUUCCGCAAUGGGCGAAAGCCUGACGGAGCAACGCCGCGUGAGUGAAGAAGGUCUUCGGAUCGUAAAACUCUGUUAUUAGGGAAGACCAAAUGUGUAAGUAACUAUGCACGUCUUGACGGUACCUAAUCAGAAAGCCACGGCUAACUACGUG